rnacentral:rRNA from 1 species
GAUGAACGCUGGCGGCGUGCUUAACACAUGCAAGUCGAACGGUGAAGCCCAGCUUGCUGGGUGGAUCAGUGGCGAACGGGUGAGUAACACGUGAGCAACCUGCCCUGGACUCUGGGAUAAGCGCUGGAAACGGCGUCUAAUACUGGAUAUGAGACGUGGCCGCAUGGUCAACGUUUGGAAAGAUUUUUCGGUCUGGGAUGGGCUCGCGGCCUAUCAGCUUGUUGGUGAGGUAAUGGCUCACCAAGGCGUCGAAGGGUAGCCGGCCUGAGAGGGUGACCGGCCACGCUGGGACUGAGACACGGCCCAGACUCCUACGGGAGGCAGCAGUGGGGAAUGUUGCACAAUGGGCGGAAGCCUGAUGCAGCAACGCCGCGUGAGGGAUGACGGCCUGCGGGUUGUAAACCUCUUUUAGCAAGGAAGAAGCUUUUGUGACGGUACUUGCAGAAAAAGCGCCGGCUAACUACGUGCCAGCCGCCGCGGUAA